rnacentral:rRNA from 1 species
ACGGAAUAAGCCUCUGGGUCAACCUCCCACCCGUGUUUAUUUUACCUUGUUGCUUCGGCGGGCCCGCCUUAACUGGCCGCCGGGGGGCUUACGCCCCCGGGCCCGCGCCCGCCGAAGACACCCUCGAACUCUGUCUGAAGAUUGUAGUCUGAGUGAAAAUAUAAAUUAUUUAAAACUUUCAACAACGGAUCUCUUGGUUCCGGCAUCGAUGAAGAACGCAGCGAAAUGCGAUACGUAAUGUGAAUUGCAAAUUCAGUGAAUCAUCGAGUCUUUGAACGCACAUUGCGCCCCCUGGUAUUCCGGGGGGCAUGCCUGUCCGAGCGUCAUUUCUGCCCUCAAGCACGGCUUGUGUGUUGGGCCCCGUCCUCCGAUCCCGGGGGACGGGCCCGAAAGGCAGCGGCGGCACCGCGUCCGGUCCUCGAGCGUAUGGGGCUUUGUCACCCGCUCUGUAGGCCCGGCCGGCGCUUGCCGAUCAACCCAAAUUUUUAUCCAGGUUGACCUCGGAUCAGGUAGGGAUACCCGCUGAACUUAAGCAUAUCAAUAAGCGGAGGAA